rnacentral:snoRNA from 1 species
GAAUGACAGGGAAGAUGAGAGGGGAGGAAGGAGGAGGGAGUAACAAAAGUGAAAACAAAAACUUGAAAAUGAAAACAAUUUCAAACAGAUUUCAGUUUUUAGUUUUUGUUUUCACUUUUGUUACUCCUUCCUCCCUCCUCCCCUCUCAUCUUCCCUCUCAUUCU